GUCGUGACGAUGUUCGGGUUAAGUCCGGCAACGAGCGCAACCCACAUCUUUAGUUGCCAGCAGUUCGGCUGGGCACUCUAAAGGAAACUGCCCGUGAUAAGCGGGAGGAAGGUGUGGAUGACGUCAAGUCCUCAUGGCCCUUACGGGUUGGGCUACACACGUGCUACAAUGGCAGUGACAAUGGGUUAAUCCCCAAAAACUGUCUCAGUUCGGAUUGUCGUCUGCAACUCGACGGCAUGAAGUCGGAAUCGCUAGUAAAUCGCGUAACAGCAUGACGCGGUGAAUACGUUCCCGGGCCUU
rnacentral:rRNA from 1 species